UCUAAUAAUAUNNNGCAGAUUAGUGCAAUGAAUUUAAGCUUCAUAUAUAAAGUUUAAACUUUUUUUAGAA
rnacentral:tRNA from 1 species